UUCCGGUUGAUCCUGCCGGAGGCCACCGCUAUUGGAGUACGCUUAAGCCAUGCGAGUCGAGAGUCUUAGGGACUCGGCGAACUGCUCAGUAACACGUGGAUAACCUACCCUCAGGAGGGGGAUAACCUCGAGAAAUUGAGAUUAAUACCCCAUAGGUUCAGCAUGCUGGAAUGCAGUUGAACAUAAAGCUCCGGCGCCUGAGGACGGGUCUGCGGCCUAUCAGGUUGUAGUGAGGGUAAUGUCCUCACUAGCCAGCAACGGGUACGGGCCAUGGGAGUGGUAGCCCGGAGAUGGACUCUGAGACACGAGUCCAGGCCCCACGGGGCGCAGCAGGCGCGAAAACUUCACAAUGCGGGAAACCGCGAUGAGGGUACUCCAAGUGCUAUUACAUUGUAAUAGCUUUUCACUUGCCUAAAUCGCUGGUGGAAUAAGGGCUGGGUAAGUCUGGUGCCAGCCGCCGCGGUAAUACCAGCAGCUCAAGUGGUGGUCGUUAUUAUUGAGCCUAAAGCGUCCGUAGCCUGACUAGUAAACCUCUGGGUAAAUCGGGGAGCUUAACUCUCCGACUUCCGGAGAGACUGCUAGUCUUGGGACUGGGAGAGGUCGGAGGAACUCUAGGGGUAGGGGUGAAAUCCUGUAAUCCUUAGAGGACCACCGGUGGCGAAGGCGUCCGACUAGAACGGGUCCGACGGUGAGGGACGAAGCCUAGGGGAACAAACCGGAUUAGAUACCCGGGUAGUCCUAGGUGUAAACGCUGCAGGCUUGGUGUUGGGGGUCUUGCGAGGGCGCCCAGUGCCGG
rnacentral:rRNA from 1 species